rnacentral:lncRNA from 1 species
CAUCGGGUGUGCCAAAGGCAUCCUCCAACACUUGAAGCAUGUCCUUGGCUGAGCCAUCUCGAAUCUGCGACUGAACUCGUCGCUCAUAGUAGCCAGCAUGAUACAGCGCACCGUGGUCCGAUCACUGAGCCACUUCUGGUAAGUGUCUCUGACUGUUCCACGUGCAUUGACAGCUGGCUCCUCAGGUGCAGGAUCCAUUAUCACAUAUAGGAUCCGUUCAUGCUUCAGGACUAUCUUCAACUUUCGGUACCAGCUACCGAAGUUGGGUCCCACCAACUUAUCAUUGUCCAACAAUGAUCGGAGCAAUAGGAAAGUGGCCAUAUUUGCACAAAAGAAAACCAUAACC